UAAAUAAUAGUUAAUUUAUAAUACUUGAUUGUCAGCCAAGAGUAAACAUUUGUUUUAUUUAG
rnacentral:tRNA from 1 species